GCCAGGUGCGGUGGCACGUGCCUAUAGUCCCAGCUACUUGGGAGGCUGAGCUGGGAGGAUCGCUUGAGCCCAGGAGUUUUGGGCUGUAGUGCGCUAUGCCGAUUGGGUGUCCACACUAAGUUCAGCAUCAAUAUGGUGACCUCCCAGGAGCGGAAGGGACCACCAGGUUGCCUAAGGAGGGGUGAACUGGCCUAGGUCAGAAAUGGAGCAGGUCAAAACUCCCUGGCUGAUCAGUAGUAGGAUUGGGCCUGUGAAUAGCCACUGCACUCCAGCCUGGACAACAUAGCAAGGCCCCAUCUCU
ensembl:misc_RNA Metazoa_SRP Metazoan signal recognition particle RNA